rnacentral:rRNA from 1 species
UACCAGCUCUCCGAGUGGUAGGGAUGAUUAUUGGGCUUAAAGCGUCCGUAGCCGGCUUAGCAAGUCUCCUGUUAAAUUCAGCGACCUAAUCGUUGAGCCGCGGGAGAUACUACUAGGCUAGGAGGCGGGAGAGGUCAACGGUACUUCCGGGGUAGGGGUGAAAUCCUAUAAUCCCGGGAGGACCACCAGUGGCGAAGGCUGUUGACUAGAACGCGCUCGACGGUGAAGGACGAAAGCUGGGGGAGCGAACCGGAUUAGAUACCCGGGUAGUCCCAGCUGUAAACGAUGCGAGCUAGGUGUUGGGGUGGCUACGUGCCACUUCAGUGCCGCAGGGAAGCCAUUAAGCUCACCGCCGUGGGGAGUACGGCCGCAAGGCUGAAACUUAAAGGAAUUGGGCGGGGAGCACCACAAGGCGUGAAGCUUGCGGUUC